GUGUCUAGCUCAGGGUUUGUGAAUGCACCAAUCGACAUUCUGUAUCUAGCUACUCUGGUGGGGCCUUGGAGAACCUUUGUGUCCACACUCUGUAUCUAGCUAAUCUGGUGGGGACGUGGAGAACCUUUGUGUCUAGAUCAGGGAUUGUAAACGCACCAAUCAGCGCCCUGUCAAAACAGACCACUUGGCUCUACCAAUCAGCAGGAUGUGGGUGGGGCCAGAUAAGAGAAUAAAAGCAGGCUGCCCCAGGCAGCAGUGGCAACCCGCUCGGGUUCCUUUCCGCAUUGUGGAAGCUUUGUUCUUUUGUUCUUUGCAAUAAAUCUUACUACUGCUUACUCUUUGGGUCCACACUGCUUUUAUGAGCUGUAAUACUCACCCCGAAGGUCUGCAGCUUCACUCCUGAAGCUAGGGAGACCAGGAGCCCACCAGGAGGAACGAGCAACUCCAGACGCGCCGCCUUAAGAGCUGUAACACUCACCACGAAGGUCUGCAGCUUCACUCCUGAGCCAGCGAGAUCACGAACCCACCAGAAGGAAGAAACUCCGAACACAUCUGAACAUCAGAAGGAACAAACUCUGGACACGCCACCUUUAAGAACUGUAACACUCACCGCGAGGGUCCGCGGCUUCAUUCUUGAAGUCAGUGAGACCAAGAACCCACCAAUUCCGGACACACUGGGAUUACAGGCGUGAGCCACCGCACCCGGCUUUUUUUUGGGGGGUGGUGGGGACGGAGUCUUGCUCUAUCGCCCAGGCUGGAGUGCAGUGGCACCAUCUGGGUUCACUGCAAUCUCUGCCUCCCAGAUUCAAGCGAUGCUCCUGCCUCAGCCUCCCGACUAGCUGGGACUAUAGGUAUAUGCCACCACACUGGGUUAAUUUUUGUAUUUUUGUAGAGACGGGGUUUCACCAUAUUGGCCAGGCUGGUCUCGAACUCCUGACCUCAUGAUCCGCCCUCCUCGGCCUCCCAAAGUGCUGGGAUUACAGGCGUGAGUCACCGUGCCCGGCCAGUUUAUAGGUUUAGAAACUGAAACUCUGGCUGUGGAGCUAGGAAGCAGCUUGCCCAGGAGGCAAAUGCAGGCCUGAUUCCAAGGCCCGGGCGCGGAGCUGCCAAGCUUUAUGGGUCCAGAGUCACUGGCAAGUCCUAAUAAUAGUAAUAAUUUACUGUAUGCCUCGCCUGCAUCAUUCUAAGUACCUUUCCGAUGCUGUCUCACAUACUUUUGUGGGAUGGGUAUCACUAUUGUCCUUGGGGUCCUCCCAAGGAGGUUAAGGCAUAAUGGGUGAAAAGUCUUGUCUAAGGUCCUCAGCUAGAAAGUGGUAGAAGCAGGACUUGAGCCCAGAUACAAAGUCCACACACAGGCUUCAACCACUCUGCCUUCCAGGAAGAGCUGGUAGUGUUUAAGAGUCUAGUCCAGAACACUGUCUCAACAGCAUCAUUAGAUCAGGGCUCCUAAUCCCUAGAACCCUGUGUAACACUGCAACCCUGGCCAGGCAUAGUGGUUCAAGCCUGUAAUUCCAGCACUUUUGGAGGCCAAGGUGAGAGGAUUGCUUGAGCCCAGGAGUUCGAGACCAGCCUAGGCAACAUAGUAAGAACCUAUCUUUACAAAAAACAAAAAAUUAGCCAGGCAUGGUGGUGAGCACCUGUAGUCCCAGCUCCUGGGGAGGCUGAGGCGGGAAGAUUAAUUGAGCCCGGGAGUUUGAGGCUGCAGUGAGCUAUGAUCACACCACUACACUCCAGCCUGGGUGACAGAGUGAGACCCUGUCUCCAAAUAUAUAAAUGCUCCCCUGCCUCCCUGUGGGGAUAGAUAGGGUAAGAGAACCCACUCAGAAAGAAAGGUUAAGAUGGCCUGGGUGGCUGUGGUACCCCAGGAGACUAAAAAAAGUUACGGUGAGAAAUGCUUGGACUGCAACUCUUGGUAAAAUCUGAUGCUGGCAGGUGGGCAUUUUGGAAAAUAAGUCCUUGGGGUGAUUCUCCUAGAGAUGGGCCUAGCUUGACAACAGGUAACAGAGCUGUGACGUCAGCUGAGCUCUGGCGGUUCUCACACUGCAGGAUUCCAACUACAAACCUAGACCGGGGAGGAACAGGCUCAGAAGUAGGUUUUCGCCGGGUGCAGUGGCUCAUGCUUGUAAUCCUAGCACUUUGGGAGGCCGAGGUGGGUGGAUCACAAGGUCAGGAGUUCGAGACCAGCCUGGCCAAGAAGGUGAAACCCUGUCUCUACUAAAAAUACAAAAAUUAGCUAUUCAGGAGGCCAAGGCAGGGGAAUUGCUUGAACCUGGAUGGCAGAGGUUGCAGUGAGCUGAGUUCAUGCCACUGCACUCCAGCCUGGGCGACAGAAUGAGACUCCGUCUCAAAAAAAAAAAAAAAAAAAAAAAGGUUUUCAAGCCAAGUCUCAGAAGGCACAGGAGGUGGUUGCUGUAGCAAUCAUCUUUUAUUUUAUUUAUUUGAGACAGAGUCUCGCUCUGUCGCCCAGGCCGGAGUGCAGUGGCAGGAUCUCAGCUCCUGACCUCAUAAUCCGCCUGCCUCGCCCUCCCAAAGUGGUGGGAUUACAGGGAUUACCGUGCCUGGCCAGCAGUCAUCUUUUACAAUGAACAAAUAGGGCUGGGCGCGGUGGCUCACAUCUGUAAUCCUAGCACUUUGGGAGAUGGGCAGAUCACGAGGUCAGGAGACCAGCCUGGCCAACAUGGUGAAACCUCGUCUCUACUAAAAAUACAAAAAUUAGCUGGGUGUGGUGAUGCACGCCUGUAAUCCUAGCUACUCAGGAGGUUGAGGCAGGAGAAUCGCUUGAACCCGGGAGGUGGAGGUUUCAGUGAGCUGAGAUUGCACCACUGCACUCCAGCCUGGGCGACAGACAGACCAAGACUCCAUCUCAAAAAAAAAAUAAAUAAAUAAAUAAAAAUAAGUCAGGCACAGUGGCUCACGCAUGCCUGUAAUCACAGCCCUGUGGGAGGGUGAGGCAUGAGGAUCGCUUGAGGCCAGGGGUUUGAGACUAGCUUGGGCAACAUAGUGAGACCCUAUCUCUACAAAAAGUAAAAUGAACAAAUAAAUAUAGCAACUACAUAUCAGAACUUGGAGGCACUUAUUAGCUAUUAGUCCUGAGUACUUGUAAACACUGAAUAGAAGCUAGCCAAAUUUUUAAUUCUAAUAAUAGCUAAUACUGAUUACUGAAGGCUAUGUGCAAGGCACUGUUCCAAGUGUUGUUUUUUUUUUUUUUGUAUUAACUCAUUAAAUCCUCACAAUCACCCUGUACAAGUAUUAUUACUGUCUCCAUGUUACAGGGAGGGAAACUGACGCACAAGGAGACUACGUACCUGCCCAAGUUACACAGCAGUGGAUUGGAAGCAGAGGUUCUGUUCCAGCAGCCACAUGUCCCCUCCAAGUAUACAGAUGAGGAAACGAAAGAGCUCAGAGUUCUGGGAAACACGCUCAAAAUCACGUCAGUAAGCUUUUCUGGUUCCCCAGGAGGAUGCUUACCAAAGCUUAGACAUGCUGGUGUGACACAGUCAAAUUGUAAAAACAGAAAGACACACACGUGGCCUUGCCUGGCAAUAAAUAUUUUAAUUUGUUUCAUUUUUAUGAUG
rnacentral:lncRNA from 10 species